CUUGUUCUUUAAAUAGGGACUAGUAUCAACGGCACCACGAGGGUUAUACUGUCUCCUUUCUCCAAUCAGUGAAACUGAUCUCCCCGUGAAGAAGCGGGGAUAAUUAUAUAAGACGAGAAGACCCCAUGGAGCUUCAAACCUUCAGCAACUUUUAACUUACAAAUCCUAAUAUCUUAAAAGCUAUGCCUACCGGUUUUGGGUUGGGGUGACCGCGGAGAAAAAAUUAACCUCCAUGACGAACAGAACUAAAUCUUUAUCUAAGAGCUACUACUCUAAGAAUCAGUAAACUGACGUAAAAUGACCCGAUUAUCGAUCAACGAACCAAGUUACCCUGGGGAUAACAGCGCAAUCCACUUUGAGAGCUCAUAUCGACAAGUGGGUUUACGACCUCGAUGUUGGAUCAGGGUAUCCCGGUGGUGCAGCCGCUACUAAUGGUUCGUUUGUUCAACGAUUAAAACC
rnacentral:rRNA from 1 species